rnacentral:rRNA from 1 species
AGGUGUCAGAAAGUUACCACAGGAGUAACUGGCUUGUAGCUGUAGAGAGUUCAUAUCGACAUAGCUUUUUGAUUCUUCGAUGUCGCUCUUCCUAUUCUUAAGUUGCAGAAGACUUAACGGAUGUGAUUGUUCACCACUCAAAAGGGAACGUGAGCUGGGUUUAGACCGUUGCGAAACAGGUUAGUUUUUAUCCUACUGUUCUUAAAAUUAUAUUGGCAUUUGAAUUUCGAAUGAUUUCGUCAUCAUUGUUCACUUGCAAAGAAUCGAAUCUCUGAAGAGCAAUUUGGGUUAGUACGAGAGGAACACCCCAAUUCACGCUUCUGAUAAUGCUUUUGCGUCGACCGACGCGAGAAGCAAAGUUACGCGUUGCCACGAUAAAAGCUGAACGCCUCUAAGCAUGAAUCGUACCUCGAAACAAAAAGAGAUUGAAGAAAGAAAAAGCAUUUUUGCGAUGUCAUCAAACAACACCGAAAUGAAGAGGAAAC